rnacentral:lncRNA from 1 species
GCCCCGGCGGUCGCAGGGAAGGGGGAGAGGGGAGCGAGGCGCGGGGGGCGCCGGGAGAGCGCCUCCGCGGUGGGACGGAGCCGGACUGGGCCGAGCGAGGGAGGCUCCUGAGCCUCGGAGGACCCCGGGGUUGGCUUUGGGAGCUGAAAGUUUCCUUGGACCCCUCGGAAGCCCCGUGACAUCAGAGGCCGGGCCUGGCAGGGGCAGGCAGGAAACGUGUCUGGAGGCUACUGCCCUCUCCGCGUGACCUUGGGCGAGCAGCCUCCUCCUGGGGCUCAGUGGGUGUGAUUUUGUAACAUUUCCCAGCGCUGCCACAGGCGCGUCUCGCCCUGUCCAACGCGGAGCCCGAAGAAUUACUAAGAAACCGAGGUCUGAAGGAGGGAAGAGGUGACGGGCUCGAGGCCACACGGUGGGCCAGGCUGGGCCCGGCUGCACGCCGGCUACCGGGGCCCAGCCCUCUGCACGCCUCCCGCAGCCUCAGUUUCCCUGUCCGUGGUACUGAGGAUGCUCGGGCCUAGAAGUUCAGGGCUGGAGGCCCAGGGACCGUCGAGGGAGGGGCAUCAUCCCCGCCAUGGGGCCGCCGCAACUGCCCAGAGCACAGGCCAAAGACCCCUGAGGCCCCCUCCUCCUUCAGAGCAUGCACGUCGCAAAUUCUCAAUGACUGUUUGGAGGAAUGAAUAAAUGAAUUGUGAACAAAUGGUCUGAAGAUUCCAGAGGUAGCCUAAUGGGGCCCUGCUGCUUGAGUUCUAAUCCCAGCCCCACCAGUUGUUGGCUAUUUGGCCCUGGGCAGGUG